rnacentral:rRNA from 1 species
UACGUAGGGGGCUAGCGUUAAUCGGAAUUACUGGGCGUAAAGCGUGCGCAGGCGGUUUUGUAAGUCAGAUGUGAAAUCCCCGGGCUUAACCUGGGAAUGGCAUUUGGGACUGCAAGGCUCGAGUGCGGCAGAGGAGACUGGAAUUCCUGGUGUAGCAGUGAAAUGCGUAGAUAUCAGGAGGAACACCGAUGGCGAAGGCAGGUCUCUGGGCUGACACUGACGCUCAUGCACGAAAGCGUGGGGAGCAAACAGG